rnacentral:misc_RNA from 1 species
UACAGAGACCUCGAACGUUAUCCGGAUUCAUUGGGCGUAAAGCGUCCGCAGGUGGUUUGAUAAGUUGAUGGUUAAAUCUUCGGGCUUAACCUGUAGACCGCUAUCAAUACUGUCAAACUAGAGGCCGGGAGGGGCAAGCGGAACAAUUGGUGUAGUCGUAAUAAGCGCUGAGAUCAAUUGGAACACCAAAGGCGAAGGCAGCUUGCUAGAACGUGCCUGACACUCAUGGACGAAAGCGUGGGUAGCGAAUGGG